AAUUAAAGGAAAGGUGUUCCAGAACCACACCAGAACCGCUCUGGUUCUGAACAGCUUCCUGGUUCUGAAGAGCUUCCUGGUUCUGCUGCUGAUCCGGUUCAGAACCGAUUCUCCAGUAGAGGCUCAACAGAACCUUUAGAACCGGUUUUAUCUCGGAGUGGUUGGACUCUGUCAGAGGUUGAAGACAGGUUUGCUCUGUGUUUUUACUGUGACCUCUGACCUCUGGCCUUGGAGUGCAGCUGCCGGCCAGAUCGGGUUUCGGCCGGAAUGGAACUGGAUUGUUCCAAGGAACGUCUCGGUAAUCCGACCCGAUCAGUGCCACAACAACCGGCGAGCAAAGCAAGCCGUCCACCGCCCGCCACGCGACCUGUCGUCUGUCAGAGGUCAGAGGUCAAACUCCUGGCCUUAGAGCAGGAACUGGUUCAGGAAAACUGGUGAAUCCAGAAACGGGAACACUGUGAGGAUGAGCAGCUUUCCUUCUUCAUUGUGGAGGAAGUCGGAGCCAGGAACUUACAGGAAGAAAACAAUUUUUAUGCCCAUGAAAAUCAGUUUGAUAAGCAAUAAAGGUGAAUUAAUCAGUUUGGUUGUUGUUCCGAUCAUCGGUUCAUCCCAUUAAAGCCCAGACUUCCUGUUUGGAAGCCCAGACUUCCUGUUUGGAAGCCCAGACUUCCUGUUUGGAAGCCCAGACUUCCUCCAGGAGUCUGCAGAUCACGUCUCCACCCCUGGACUGUCUCUGCCUUUGGGAACCUUCAGCAGAACCUCAGGAGUCCCUGGGUCAUGUGACCUACCUUCACCUGCACAGGGGGAUGGAGCAAAGAGCAGGAGGCGCACGCAGCUCAGCAUCAGCAGGACGCCUGCACCUCGGAUCGCCGACAUGUUGGCUGCAGCAACAAGCCGUCCUACAGGAGGAGGACAUGGUGAGACGGAGACCAGUGACCCUGAGCUCUGGAGAUUUUUCCGGACAUGUCUGCAAGUUUGAGGUGUCGGUGCAAUUCUUGUGAAGUUGAGCCGCCACUGAGAGUGAAACUUAAGCUGCCAGCGAGGGACAAUCCUGCAGGACGCUGUGAGCUGGACUUCAGACGGACCGAGGGAUGUGUCUUGGGUUCCAGUCCUGCAUCCUGUGGUGCUUCACGUCAAACUUUUCCAAAUGUCAUAAUCUUUCUUCUCCUUCCCCCAACAAGAGAUAGAGGACAGGGCUGUCCAGCAACUCUACCCUCUUCCUCUGUCUCAACCUUUGGUCCAGCAGGAAGUGGAUGUUUCCCCAGACCAGGACUCCUCCUGUCUUCAAAGGACAUUGUCCUGAAGCUGCUAGUCUUGAUGCCGUGGUGACGGAGGUCUGGAUCCCUGUGCCCACACGGUCGACUGUCAGGCAGGAAAACAAGGAGCGGAUCACUUUCCAAAGAUUCCAGGGAAGAGCACGGCCUCUGCAGAGACAGGAAGGGACAUGCCUGGAUUACCGACAGCAUUCGUGUGGCUUGCAUACCACAGCGCACGCGCACACGCACACACACACACACACACACACAAACA